AUUGAACGCUGGCGGCAUGCUUUACACAUGCAAGUCGAACGGUAACAGGCCGCAAGGUGCUGACGAGUGGCGAACGGGUGAGUAAUGCAUCGGAACGUGCCCAGUCGUGGGGGAUAACGCAGCGAAAGCUGCGCUAAUACCGCAUACGAUCUAUGGAUGAAAGCGGGGGACCGUAAGGCCUCGCGCGAUUGGAGCGGCCGAUGUCAGAUUAGGUAGUUGGUGGGGUAAAGGCUCACCAAGCCGACGAUCUGUAGCUGGUCUGAGAGGACGACCAGCCACACUGGGACUGAGACACGGCCCAGACUCCUACGGGAGGCAGCAGUGGGGAAUUUUGGACAAUGGGCGCAAGCCUGAUCCAGCAAUGCCGCGUGCAGGAAGAAGGCCUUCGGGUUGCAAACUGCUUUUGUACGGAACGAAACGGCUCUGGUUAAUACCUGGGGCUAAUGACGGUACCGUAAGAAUAAGCACCGGCUAACUACGUGCCAGCCGCCGCAGUAACAC
rnacentral:rRNA from 1 species